CCUACGGGUGGCUGCAGUGGGGAAUAUUGGACAAUGGGGGGAACCCUGAUACAGCCAUGCCGCGUGUGUGAAGAAGGCCCUCGGGUUGUAAAGCACUUUCAGUGAGGAAGAACGCCUGGUGGUUAAUACCCAUCAGGAAAGACAUCACUCACAGAAGAAGCACCGGCUAACUCCGUGCCAGCAGCCGCGGUAAUACGGAGGGUGCGAGCGUUAAUCGGAAUUACUGGGCGUAAAGCGCGCGUAGGUGGCUUGAUAAGCCGGUUGUGAAAGCCCCGGGCUCAACCUGGGAACGGCAUCCGGAACUGUCAAGCUAGAGUGCAGGAGAGGAAGGUAGAAUUCCCGGUGUAGCGGUGAAAUGCGUAGAGAUCGGGAGGAAUACCAGUGGCGAAGGCGGCCUUCUGGACUGACACUGACACUGAGGUGCGAAAGCGUGGGUAGCAAACAGGAUUAGAUACCCUAGUAGUC
rnacentral:rRNA from 1 species